GUCGAACGAUGAUGCCCAGCUUGCUGGGUGGAUUAGUGGCGAACGGGUGAGUAACACGUGAGUAACCUGCCCCUGACUCUGGGAUAAGCGUUGGAAACGACGUCUAAUACUGGAUAUGAUCACUGGCCGCAUGGUCUGGUGGUGGAAAGAUUUUUUGGUUGGGGAUGGACUCGCGGCCUAUCAGCUUGUUGGUGAGGUAAUGGCUCACCAAGGCGACGACGGGUAGCCGGCCUGAGAGGGUGACCGGCCACACUGGGACUGAGACNCGGCCCAGACUCCUACGGGAGGCAGCAGUGGGGAAUAUUGCACAAUGGGCGAAAGCCUGAUGCAGCAACGCCGCGUGAGGGAUGACGGCCUUCGGGUUGUAAACCUCUUUUAGUAGGGAAGAAGCGAAAGUGACGGUACCUGCAGAAAAAGCACCGGCUAACUACGUGCCAGCAGCCGCGGUAAUACGUAGGGUGCAAGCGUUGUCCGGAAUUAUUGGGCGUAAAGAGCUCGUAGGCGGUUUGUCGCGUCUGCUGUGAAAUCCCGAGGCUCAACCUCGGGCUUGCAGUGGGUACGGGCAGACUAGAGUGCGGUAGGGGAGAUUGGAAUUCCUGGUGUAGCGGUGGAAUGCGCAGAUAUCAGGAGGAACACCGAUGGCGAAGGCAGAUCUCUGGGCCGUAACUGACGCUGAGGAGCGAAAGCAUGGGGAGCGAACAGGAUUAGAUACC
rnacentral:rRNA from 1 species